rnacentral:rRNA from 1 species
GACGAACGCUGGCGGCGUGCCUAAUACAUGCAAGUAGGACGCAGUUGCGAACGGGUGAGGAAGGCGUAGGUAAAUGCCUAUUGGAGGGGGAUAACUAUUGGAAACGAUAGCUAAUACCGCAUACUAGUAGAUGGACCUGCGUUGUAUUAGCUAGUAGGUAGGGGAAUGGCCUACCUAGGCAACGAUACAUAGCCGAAUUGAGAGGGUUAUCGGCAAAACCGGGACUGAGACACGGCCCAGACUCCUAAGGGAGGCAGCAGUAGGGAAUCUUCGUCAAUGGGGGGAACCCUGACCGAGCAACGCCGCGUGAGUGAAGAAGGUUUUCGGAUCGUAAAGCUCUGUUGUUAAGGAAGCGGUACUUAACCAGAAAGGGACGGCUAACUACGUGCCAGCAGCCGCGGUAAUUC